CUGGAAGGCCCUUUGUUGAUCUCAAGAGACCUUUUGCCUUCUAGUUUAAGAGUCAGAAGAGAGAUUUUCGAGAGCAAAACGACCUUAUUUAUGGCUUCUUGCUCUGUCAGUGCCACUUGGGGGUGCAGUCGGGAAGGAAUGGGUUUUCAUUGUAUUGCUUUGCCUCAUGAAAAGAGACAGGGAGUCAGAUUGAUGUGCAAGUUGGCAAAAUGAAAGACUCUUCCACGAUUGUGGUUGGCCUCUGCAUAGGUGGUGGAGGAACGAUGUGUUUACUGUGUGAACUCUGACAACAGUGGCUGGACCGAAAUCCGCCGGGAAGCCUGGGUCUCCUCUAGCUUAUUUGGUGUCUCCAGAGCUGUCCAGGAAUUUGGUCUUGCCCGGUUCAAAAGCAACGUGACCAAGACUAUGAAGGGUUUUGAAUAUAUCUUG
rnacentral:sRNA from 1 species